GUUUUGGCCGCUUCAAGAUGGCGGUGCAGGAAUCGGCGGCUCAGUUGUCCAUGACCCUGAAGGUCCAGGAGUACCCGACCCUCAAGGUGCCCUACGAGACGCUGAACAAACGCUUUCGCGCCGCUCAGAAGAACAUUGACCGGGAGACCAGCCACGUCACCAUGGUGGUGGCCGAGCUGGAGAAGACGCUGAGCGGCUGCCCCGCCGUGGACUCCGUGGUCAGCCUGCUGGACGGCGUGGUGGAGAAGCUCAGCGUCCUCAAGAGGAAGGUUGGUCCCGCCCGGUGGUCCCUCUUCAGUCUGGGGCAUGGACACCCCUUUUGUCUCGAAAAUGAGUCCUAAGACAGGCAAGCUGCAAUGAUGGGAACGUGGGAGGUGCGGUUGGGGGCCCCCUUCCCUGCUGUCUGCCUUCUGGGGCCACUGUCGGCUGAGCAGGCCAGCUUCCUGUUCCUGUAGGGACCGUGUUGUCUUGCUCCAGGUGUGUCCAGAGUCCAGGCCACAGGGAGACCAGGAUGUAUAGCAGGUUGAUUGAUUUUUUUUUUUUGAGACAGAGUCCCACUGUGUCAUUCAGGCUGGAGUUCAGUGGUGCGAUCUCAGCUCACUGCAGCCUCCACCUCCCGGGUUCAGGCGAUUCUCCUGCCUCAGCCUCACGAGUAGCUGGGACUACAGGCGCCCACCACCAC
rnacentral:sRNA from 1 species